rnacentral:rRNA from 1 species
CAGCCGCCGCGGUAAUACAGAGGGUGCGAGCGUUAAUCGGAUUUACUGGGCGUAAAGCGUGCGUAGGCGGCUUUUUAAGUCGGAUGUGAAAUCCCUGAGCUUAACUUAGGAAUUGCAUUCGAUACUGGGAAGCUAGAGUAUGGGAGAGGAUGGUAGAAUUCCAGGUGUAGCGGUGAAAUGCGUAGAGAUCUGGAGGAAUACCGAUGGCGAAGGCAGCCAUCUAGCCUAAUACUGACGCUGAGGUACGAAAGCAUGGGGAGCAAACAGGAUUAGAUACCCGCGUAGUCCCUGUCUCUUAUAC